rnacentral:tRNA from 1 species
CAGAGAAUGGUUUAAAGUGAGAAUACUAGCUUUGGGGGCUAGUGAUAGGAGUUAAAGUCUCCUUUCUUUGA